UACGUAGGGUGCGAGCGUUGCCCGGAUUUAUUGGGCGUAAAGGGCGCGUAGGCGGCCUGGCAAGUGGGAGGUGAAAUCCCUCGGCUUAACCGAGGAACUGCCCUCCAAACUGCUUGGCUUGAGUCCGGGAGAGGUGAGUGGAAUUCCCAGUGUAGCGGUGAAAUGCGUAGAUAUUGGGAGGAACACCAGUGGCGAAGGCGGCUCACUGGACCGGAACUGACGCUGAGGCGCGAAAGCGUGGGGAGCAAACGGG
rnacentral:rRNA from 1 species